CCCGGAUUGAACGGCAUGUUUGAGCUCUCCCGCUGCAUUUGAGCGGGGAGCGAGUAGUGAAAGCCGGAAAAGGC
rnacentral:misc_RNA from 1 species